AAUCAGCACCUCUGGUCUCAUGCAUGUCAACCUGCUUUAGAUAACUUCAAAACAAGCUAAGUGUAGCAGCGCUUGGCAUCAAUGAAAUCAUCAGAGUUCUGACAGGUGCACAUUUCUUUGACAUCUGUCCCAGCUCCACGAAUUUAAAGGGUAAAAGUAAAGUGUGUGGAGAGUGGGGCUGGCAGCCCAGAUAAAGCCUGAGGCGAGGCCCCUCUGAGACGUGUGGGUGGAGGGUCGUGCCACUGCAGAGUGGACCUUUUGAAUAAAAGCCACUUCUAUGAGGAGUCCAGCCUGCAUGAGGGAAAAUGGCACACUGGACAAUGAAAUCAAUACAUCCCUGUUGGUGGCCAAACAACAAAAUGACAGGAAGUUUCCCUCACUGAAUCUGUGACAAGUAAAUCUCCACUGUCUGAA